rnacentral:rRNA from 1 species
GACAGAGGGUGCAAACGUUGUUCGGAAUUACUGGGCGUAAAGCGUGUGUAGGCGGCCGCGCAAGUCGGAUGUGAAAUCCCCGGGCUCAACCCGGGAAGGGCACCCGAAACUGCACGGCUCGAGUACCGGAGAGGUUGGUGGAAUUCUCGGUGUAGAGGUGAAAUUCGUAGAUAUCGAGAGGAACACCGGUGGCGAAGGCGGCCAACUGGACGAGUACUGACGCUGAGACACGAAAGCGUGGGGAGCAAACAGGA